AAGAAAUUAGGGUUCUAGGGCUCUUGAGGCUUUCUUGUGAUUCUUCCAUUUUGAUUUUCAAUUUUCACUUCCAGAAAUACAAAAAAAAAAAAAUGAACGAAAUUUUUUUAUUAUUUUCAGUUUCUGUUUUCAUUGUUCUUCAUGGGAUUUGAUCGAAGUGUUUUUGAGUGCUGAAGAUUUAUUCUCCAGUCUAGUUGUCCCUGCCCACGUUCCAUAAGCUGUUUUCCUACUCUGUUGCUUCAUUGUUGACUCUGGAUCUUCAGUAGCUGUUUUAUUCUCAAGUUUGUCACCAAAUCUUUAUCUGUUGUAAUCGACUCCUGACAAAAUUAAUCGAAGGCUUAAUUUCCAGGUUCGUCUUUAUUUUCUUACUCCGUUAAUGAUGAUUCAAAGUAUGAUAAUAUGGACUUAGAAGUCAUGUGUGUUCUGCCGUGUUCUAUGUGCAUACGUCUUAGUCUUAGAAUCUACUCGAGCACACACAAUCAACUAAAGUGAGACUCUGCUUGCGAUUAAAUGGAUUCCUGAAAUGCGCCGCUCUGUUUGAUUUGUAUCGCUACGUGUUUCAUUUUAGUAUUCUUUAUCCUUCUCUAUUGGUCUCGUUUAAAGGGUCAAAUGACAAAUAAGUGUUUAAAUUUUUUUUUUUCCACAUCUAACGUGAACACUCGUUGUUUCAAUCUCAUGGUUUUGCGACAUGUGAAUAGGAAGAUCAAUGUUUUAAAAUGCUUAAUACAUAGCUGAAUCUUAGCUUCAUUUACUUCUGUUCAGUAUAGUAAAAUUCAGUUUCCUAUGCCUCUAUUAGCUUUGUUUUUCUUGGUGAUGAUUUUGCAUUCUUAAGUUUAAAAGAACUCGGAAACAUACUGUCUCGCUAUUAAGAUUUUCAUCAUGCCCUUCUGUGCUUGUUGAUGAUAGCAUCAGAUUGAUUCACAUGGAAUUCUAUGUUGAUUACUGAACAUCGAAAGCUGAUUCGUGGCGCCUUAGCUGAUUUUCUUUCUGUCAGUUUAAACAUGAAAUGCGAGCUGGAAUUUUCCUCGAAAUGGUUUUCACUAUUGGUGCAACUCAAUCUUUCUAAAUUGUGCUGCAAUCUAUGCCUAAAGCAAGCUGGUUAAGGUUCUUCGGGUGAUAAAAAUGACAACGUCACAUUGUCGAGUGAGUUUGAGUCAGUGAUAUGUAUUGGCUUGAAAUUCCCCAUUAGUCUUUUGAUCUCUUGAGUAAAAUAAUGGUUAACACUCAUUUGAAAGAUGAUUUGUCGCCAUUUUUGCUUGUGAGUAAGUCAUUUUGAAGCGUGAAUGAUUUACUGUUGGGUGGAACAUGAUAAUGAAUUGCUAAUAAACAUUGUAAGCAUGUGUUUCACACUGUGGCACUGCCUUAUUUCUAAAAAUCACCUUGUGAGAGUAGUACACAUUGGUUAAGUCUAGUAGGGAAAGUGUUUUUGGAAUUCUUGUUCACUUCU
rnacentral:lncRNA from 1 species